rnacentral:rRNA from 1 species
CCCUUAGAUGUUCUGGGCCGCACGCGCGCUACACUGAUGCAUUCAACGAGUCUAAAACCUGGUCUGAUAGGGCUGGGUAAUCUUUUGAAAGUGCAUCGUGAUUGGGAUAGAUGAUUGCAAUUCUUCAUCUUCAACGAGGAAUGCCUAGUAAACGCAAGUCAUCAGCUUGCAUUGAUUACGUCCCUGCCCUUUGUACACGCCGCCCGUCGCUCCUACCGAUUGAAUGAUCCGAUGAAUACCAUGGAUUGAGAGUACGAAUGGGUUCGCUCAUUUCUGCUGCUCGAGAAGUGGAGUAAAUCUUAUCAUUUAGAGGAAGGAGAAGUCGUAACA